GGUUUGACGAGAGCUAAGCUGUCUCCUCUUAAAUAUAAAAAAAUUAAUUUUUAGGUGAAAAAGCCUAAAUUCAAUUGAGGGACAAGAAGACCCCUUUGAGCUUUAGUGAUCUAACAAAUUUUUAUAGCUGUCGAAAAGACAGCAGCGUAACAUUAAUGAAAACAUCAUUUGUUAAAAAUCUUUAGUUGGGGCGACUAAGGAACAUGAAAAGCUUCCUUUAAAUCUCUACUUAUGAGAAGUCAAUCUUAUACAAAGAUCCAGUACUUACUGAUCAGAGAAAAAAGUUACCACGGGGAUAACAGC
rnacentral:rRNA from 1 species